UGGGGCGUGGCCAAGUGGUAAGGCAACGGGUUUUGGUCCCGCUAUUCGGAGGUUCGAAUCCUUCCGUCCCCG
rnacentral:tRNA from 1 species